rnacentral:rRNA from 1 species
UGCCUUGAGGUGGGGGACAACAGUUGGAAACGACUGCUAAUACCGCAUAAUGUCUACGGACCAAAGGGGGCUUCGGCUCUCGCCUUUAGAUUGGCCCAAGUGGGAUUAGCUAGUUGGUGAGGUAAUGGCUCACCAAGGCGACGAUCCCUAGCUGGUUUGAGAGGAUGAUCAGCCACACUGGGACUGAGACACGGCCCAGACUCCUACGGGAGGCAGCAGUGGGGAAUAUUGCACAAUGGGCGCAAGCCUGAUGCAGCCAUGCCGCGUGUGUGAAGAAGGCCUUCGGGUUGUAAAGCACUUUCAGUCAGGAGGAAAGGUUAGUAGUUAAUACCUGCUAGCUGUGACGUUACUGACAGAAGAAGCACCGGCUAACUCCGUGCCAGCAGCCGCGGUAAUACGGAGGGUGCGAGCGUUAAUCGGAAUUACUGGGCGUAAAGCGUACGCAGGCGGNUUGUUAAGCGAGAUGUGAAAGCCCCGGGCUCAACCUGGGAACUGCAUUUCGAACUGGCAAACUAGAGUGUGAUAGAGG